UACGUAGGGUCCAAGCGUUAUCCGGAAUUACUGGGCGUAAAGCGUGCGUAGACGGUUAUGUAAGUCAGGUGUGAAAGCCCCGGGCUCAACCUGGGAAUUGCAUUUGAGACUGCAUAGCUAGGGUGCGGAAGAGGGAAGCGGAAUUUCCGGUGUAGCGGUGAAAUGCGUAGAUAUCGGAAGGAACAUCAGUGGCGAAAGCGGCUUCCUGGUCCAGCACCGACGUUCAGGCACGAAAGCGUGGGGAGCAAACAGG
rnacentral:rRNA from 1 species